GAUGAACGCUGGCGGCGUGCCUAAUACAUGCAAGUCGAGCGAACAGAUGAGGAGCUUGCUCCUCUGACGUUAGCGGCGGACGGGUGAGUAACACGUGGAUAACCUACCUAUAUGACUGGGAUAACUUCGGGAAACCGGAGCUAAUACCGGAUAAUAUAUUGAACCGCAUGGUUCAAUAGUGAAAGACGGUUUUGCUGUCACUUAUAGCUGGAUCCGCGCCGCAUUAGCUAGUUGGUAAGGUAACGGCUUACCAAGGCAACGAUGCGUAGCCGACCUGAGAGGGGGAUCGGCCACACUGGAACUGAGACACGGUCCAGACUCCUACGGGAGGCAGCAGUAGGGAAUCUUCCGCAAUGGGCGAAAGCCUGACGGAGCAACGCCGCGUGAGUGAUGAAGGUCUUCGGAUCGUAAAACUCUGUUAUUAGGGAAGAACAAAUGUGUAAGUAACUAUGCACGUCUUGACGGUACCUAAUCAGAAAGCCACGGCUAACUACGUG
rnacentral:rRNA from 1 species